UCGACUCAGAACUGUUAAAAGAUAACGCAGGUGUCCUAAGAUGAGCUCAAAGAGAAUAGAAAUCUCGUGUGGAACAAAAGGGUAAAAGCUCGUUUGAUUCUGAUUUCCAGUACGAAUACGAACCG
rnacentral:ncRNA from 1 species